rnacentral:rRNA from 1 species
GAUAAACGCUGGCGGCGCACAUAAGACAUGCAAGUCGAACGGACUUAACCAUUAGUUUACUAUUGGAGCGGUUAGUGGCGGACUGGUGAGUAACACGUAAGUAACCUGCCUAUCAGAGGGGAACAACAGUCAGAAAUGACUGCUAAUACCGCAUAUGCCAUAAGGGAGGCAUCUUCCAAGUGGGAAAGGAGAAAUCCGCUGAUAGAUGGGCUUGCGACUGAUUAGUUAGUAGGAAGGGUAACGGCCUACCUAGACGAUGAUCAGUAGCCGGACUGAGAGGUUGAACGGCCACAUUGGGACUGAGAUACGGCCCAGACUCC